rnacentral:rRNA from 1 species
CCUACGGGGGGCAGCAGUGGGGAAUAUUGGACAAUGGGGGGAACCCUGAUCCAGCCAUGCCGCGUGUGUGAAGAAGGCCCUCGGGUUGUAAAGCACUUUCAGUGAGGAAGAACGCCUGGUGGUUAAUACCCAUCAGGAAAGACAUCACUCACAGAAGAAGCACCGGCUAACUCCGUGCCAGCAGCCGCGGUAAUACGGAGGGUGCGAGCGUUAAUCGGAAUUACUGGGCGUAAAGCGCGCGUAGGUGGCUUGAUAAGCCGGUUGUGAAAGCCCCGGGCUCAACCUGGGAACGGCAUCCGGAACUGUCAAGCUAGAGUGCAGGAGAGGAAGGUAGAAUUCCCGGUGUAGCGGUGAAAUGCGUAGAGAUCGGGAGGAAUACCAGUGGCGAAGGCGGCCUUCUGGACUGACACUGACACUGAGGUGCGAAAGCGUGGGUAGCAAACAGGAUUAGAUACCCUUGUAGU